UUUAUGGAGAGUUUGAUCCUGGCUCAGGAUGAACGCUGGCGGCGUGCCUAAUACAUGCAAGUCGAGCGAACGGACGAGAAGCUUGCUUCUCUGAUGUUAGCGGCGGACGGGUGAGUAACACGUGGAUAACCUACCUAUAAGACUGGGAUAACUUCGGGAAACCGGAGCUAAUACCGGAUAAUAUUUUGAACCGCAUGGUUCAAAAGUGAAAGACGGUCUUGCUGUCACUUAUAGAUGGAUCCGCGCUGCAUUAGCUAGUUGGUAAGGUAACGGCUUACCAAGGCAACGAUGCAUAGCCGACCUGAGAGGGUGAUCGGCCACACUGGAACUGAGACACGGUCCAGACUCCUACGGGAGGCAGCAGUAGGGAAUCUUCCGCAAUGGGCGAAAGCCUGACGGAGCAACGCCGCGUGAGUGAUGAAGGUCUUCGGAUCGUAAAACUCUGUUAUUAGGGAAGAACAUAUGUGUAAGUAACUGUGCACAUCUUGACGGUACCUAAUCAGAAAGCCACGGCUAACUACGUGCCAGCAGCCGCGGUAAUACGUAGGUGGCAAGCGUUAUCCGGAAUUAUUGGGCGUAAAGCGCGCGUAGGCGGUUUUUUAAGUCUGAUGUGAAAGCCCACGGCUCAACCGUGGAGGGUCAUUGGAAACUGGAAAACUUGAGUGCAGAAGAGGAAAGUGGAAUUCCAUGUGUAGCGGUGAAAUGCGCAGAGAUAUGGAGGAACACCAGUGGCGAAGGCGACUUUCUGGUCUGUAACUGACGCUGAUGUGCGAAAGCGUGGGGAUCAAACAGGAUUAGAUACCCUGGUAGUCCACGCCGUAAACGAUGAGUGCUAAGUGUUAGGGGGUUUCCGCCCCUUAGUGCUGCAGCUAACGCAUUAAGCACUCCGCCUGGGGAGUACGACCGCAAGGUUGAAACUCAAAGGAAUUGACGGGGACCCGCACAAGCGGUGGAGCAUGUGGUUUAAUUCGAAGCAACGCGAAGAACCUUACCAAAUCUUGACAUCCUUUGACAACUCUAGAGAUAGAGCYUUCCCCUUCGGGGGACAAAGUGACAGGUGGUGCAUGGUUGUCGUCAGCUCGUGUCGUGAGAUGUUGGGUUAAGUCCCGCAACGAGCGCAACCCUUAAGCUUAGUUGCCAUCAUUAAGUUGGGCACUCUAAGUUGACUGCCGGUGACAAACCGGAGGAAGGUGGGGAUGACGUCAAAUCAUCAUGCCCCUUAUGAUUUGGGCUACACACGUGCUACAAUGGACAAUACAAAGGGCAGCGAAACCGYGAGGUCAAGCAAAUCCCAUAAAGUUGUUCUCAGUUCGGAUUGUAGUCUGCAACUCGACUACAUGAAGCUGGAAUCGCUAGUAAUCGUAGAUCAGCAUGCUACGGUGAAUACGUUCCCGGGUCUUGUACACACCGCCCGUCACACCACGAGAGUUUGUAACACCCGAAGCCGGUGGAGUAACCUUUUAGGAGCUAGCCGUCGAAGGUGGGACAAAUGAUUGGGGUGAAGUCGUAACAAGGUAGCCGUAUCGGAAGGUGCGGCUGGAUCACCUCCUUUCU
rnacentral:rRNA from 1 species